rnacentral:rRNA from 1 species
GACGAACGCUGGCGGCGUGCUUAACACAUGCAAGUCGAACGGAAAGGCCCUGCUUUUGUGGGGUGCUCGAGUGGCGAACGGGUGAGUAACACGUGAGUAACCUACCCUUGACUUUGGGAUAACUUCAGGAAACUGGGGCUAAUACCGGAUAGGAGCUCCUGCUGCAUGGUGGGGGUUGGAAAGUUUCGGCGGUUGGGGAUGGACUCGCGGCUUAUCAGCUUGUUGGUGGGGUAGUGGCUUACCAAGGCUUUGACGGGUAGCCGGCCUGAGAGGGUGACCGGCCACAUUGGGACUGAGAUACGGCCCAGACUCCUACGGGAGGCAGCAGUGGGGAAUAUUGCACAAUGGGCGGAAGCCUGAUGCAGCAACGCCGCGUGCGGGAUGACGGCCUUCGGGUUGUAAACCGCUUUCGCCUGUGACGAAGCGUAAGUGACGGUAAUGGGUAAAGAAGCACCGGCUAACUACGUG